ACUCCUGCGGGAGGCAGCAGUGGGGAAUCUUGCGCAAUGGGCGAAAGCCUGACGCAGCCAUGCCGCGUGAAUGAUGAAGGUCUUAGGAUUGUAAAAUUCUUUCACCGGGGACGAUAAUGACGGUACCCGGAGAAGAAGCCCCGGCUAACUUCGUGCCAGCAGCCGCGGUAAUACGAAGGGGGCUAGCGUUGCUCGGAAUUACUGGGCGUAAAGGGAGCGUAGGCGGACAUUUAAGUCAGGGGUGAAAUCCCGGGGCUCAACCUCGGAAUUGCCUUUGAUACUGGGUGUCUUGAGUAUGAGAGAGGUGUGUGGAACUCCGAGUGUAGAGGUGAAAUUCGUAGAUAUUCGGAAGAACACCAGCGGCGAAGGCGACACACUGGCUCAUUACUGACGCUGAGGCUCGAAAGCGUGGGGAGCAAACAGGAUUAGAAACCCUUGUAGUCCCAU
rnacentral:rRNA from 1 species